rnacentral:misc_RNA from 1 species
UCCAACUUAACGUUGGCAGUCUCCUUAGAGUGCCCAACUUAAUGCUGGCAACUAAGGACAAGGGUUGCGCUCGUUGCGGGACUUAACCCAACAUCUCACGACACGAGCUGACGACAGCCAUGCAGCACCUGUCUCUUUGUCCCUUUCGGGCCUGUAAUAUCUCUACUACAUUCAAAGGAUGCCAAACCCAGGUAAGGUUUUUCGCGUUGCAUCGAAUUAAACCACAUUCUCCACCGCUUGUGCGGGCCCCCGUCAAUUUCUUUGAGUUUUAAUCUUGCGACCGUACUCCCCAGGCGGGAUACUUAACGCGUUAGCUGCGGCACUGAAGGGGUCAAUACCUUCAACACCAAGUAUCCAUCGUUUACGGCGUGGACUAC